UCGUCUAUCCCCCGUCAGUGGAACACAGGGGAACAUUUCUUCACCUUGCACAUCUUUCUCCUUCCUCUUUACAUCUCUCCAUUUUCUGGUUAGUUGUUUGGCUCAAUCAACGAAGGGUAGAUUUCAGUAACUCUUGCUAUGGCACCUGUUAAGGGCAUUCUUUCCCUGCAACGCACAGCUUCACGUUGGCAGCAAAGUAACAGAUGGGGCCAAACCAUGAGAUCAUUCAGCACUCAAGGUGCUGCACCUUCAAAUACUGCACAGCCUCCUCCACCUCCCCCGCCUCCUGAGAAAACUCAUUUUGGUGGUCUUAAAGAUGAAGACAGGAUUUUUACCAACUUGUACGGGUUGCAUGAUCCUUUUCUCAAAGGUGCCAUGAAACGUGGGGAUUGGUAUAGAACUAAAGACCUGGUACUAAAGGGUGCUGAUUGGAUUGUCAAUGAAGUCAAGAAGUCUGGGUUGCGUGGACGUGGUGGUGCAGGUUUCCCGUCUGGCCUUAAAUGGUCAUUCAUGCCAAAAGUAUCCGAUGGUCGUCCAUCAUAUCUAGUUGUCAAUGCUGAUGAAAGUGAACCUGGCACAUGCAAAGAUAGGGAAAUCAUGCGACAUGAUCCCCACAAGUUAUUGGAAGGCUGCUUGAUUGCUGGGGUAGGAAUGAGAGCUACUGCUGCCUAUAUUUACAUAAGGGGUGAGUAUGUGAAUGAACGUAAAAAUCUAGAGAGGGCUAGAAAAGAGGCUUAUGAAGCUGGAUUUUUGGGAAAAAAUGCAUGUGGCUCUGAUUAUGAUUUUGAUAUUCAUAUCCAUUUUGGUGCUGGUGCUUAUAUUUGUGGUGAGGAGACAGCACUUCUGGAAAGUCUUGAAGGGAAGCAAGGCAAACCAAGGUUGAAGCCUCCUUUCCCUGCCAAUGCUGGAUUAUAUGGUUGUCCCACCACUGUUACUAAUGUGGAAACAGUGGCUGUAUCUCCCACCAUUUUAAGGCGUGGGCCAGAGUGGUUUGCCAGUUUUGGCAGGAAGAAUAAUUCUGGGACAAAACUGUUCUGCGUCUCCGGACAUGUGAACAAGCCUUGCACAGUGGAAGAGGAGAUGAGUAUACCACUUAAGGAGUUGAUUGAGAGACACUGUGGAGGUGUUAGAGGUGGAUGGAAUAAUUUACUUGCUGUGAUACCAGGAGGUUCAUCUGUUCCGCUGCUUCCUAAGCACAUAUGUGAUGAUGUGCUUAUGGAUUAUGAUGCGCUCAAGGCAGUCCAGUCAGGACUGGGCACUGCAGCUGUGAUCGUAAUGGAUAAGUCAACUGAUGUUGUGGAUGCAAUUGCAAGGCUGUCUUACUUUUACAAGCAUGAGAGCUGUGGGCAAUGCACACCAUGCAGGGAGGGGACAGGUUGGCUUUGGAUGAUAAUGGAGAGAUUGAAAGUUGGGAACGCAAAAUUGGAAGAGAUUGAUAUGCUUCAGGAGGUGACCAAGCAGAUUGAAGGACACACCAUUUGUGCAUUAGGUGAUGCAGCUGCAUGGCCUGUGCAGGGUCUUAUACGGCACUUUAGGCCAGAGCUUGAGAGAAGGAUUCGGAAGCGUGCACAAAGGGAAUUAUUGGAGGCUUCUGCUUAAUUUGUUUUGCCAAGGACAACCAUUGUGUUGGCAUGAUAUUGUAGUAUUUAAUCUUUCAUUCACCAGUCUCUGUGGACAUUCAGUGCCCAUCUACACACCACACAGAGAAUAGCUACUACUAGAAUGCAUCUUAACAUAAAUAUAAAGUUCAAUGUGCUUCUUUCUUCUGGUAUAGGAAUUUCCUGUGCUAGUGGAUGUUCUGGAAUAAAAUUGAAGAAGGGUCCGUAGAUGGGGGAAGAUAGGUGACUCAGUAGCUGUUGGUACUGCUGCAGUUUGUUUUUUAGCUGUAUACUCUUGACUUAUUUCAACUAUCCCAAAGGAAUGAUUAUUUGUUCUAUUUGUCUGGGAGUAGAUUCUCCAGAGAUUGUUUAUUGUAUCUCCCAUCUUUCCUGGGCGUCUUCUUGCACAUUUGAGGUACUCUGUUAAUAAUAUUUGAAGUAUUUUGUUCUGCACUAGGCAGACAGUUUUCUAGCUG